UACGUAGGGUGCAAGCGUUGUCCGGAAUUAUUGGGCGUAAAGAGCUCGUAGGCGGCUUGUCGCGUCGAAUGUGAAAACUCGGGGCUCAACCCCGCGCUUGCAUUCGAUACGGGCAGGCUCGAGUUCGGUAGGGGAGAUUGGAAUUCCUGGUGUAGCGGUGGAAUGCGCAGAUAUCAGGAGGAACACCGGUGGCGAAGGCGGGUCUCUGGGCCGAUACUGACGCUGAGGAGCGAAAGCGUGGGGAGCGAACAGG
rnacentral:rRNA from 1 species